GACGUCACCUUCAGUUCUCUCAAAUGCAUCUCAUCUUGAAUGUUGUUGUUGACGUUGAUUUAGUUCUCUCCUGUAUUCCUCCUUCUAUGUCAUGAAAUAACAAACCAGUACAAAUAGACUCACCAUCAUGAUGGAAAUUAUAAUGUUAUAUUAUGGGUUUUCAGACAGCAUCUGUCCAGAGGAGAUAUGUUUGUGUGUUGGUAUAUGUGAGCUAUUUUCUCUGGUGUCUGGUACUGAUGGGCUACCCGUUACUGGUAAAGAGGACAACAUUCUGUGAUUCCCAGUAAAUGGUCUGUGUUGGCCAACUACCAAGUCUGUAAUGGAAUCCUGCCGACAGGUGCACCCAUCCCAAUCCCGUAACGUUUUCCCAUUACGGCCGCUGGAAAAGCCAUCCACACCGGCACAGGGGUUGUUGUCAUGUGGGAUAUAAGUUUGGCUAGUUUGAGAGAGAGGCACUAGCUAUGUCAAGGGGUGGGGUGGGGGGUUAAGCUGUGGCUGGGCCAGAGUUAUGAGAGCAGAUUUGUUGUGUUGGUCCUGUUUCAUUUGGUGUAACAGCAGGUGUUGGAUAGAGGCCAGGAGUAUGAGGUGGAGGCAGGGAACAGAAAUAUCAGCAGGUGUUGGAUAGAGGCCAGGAGUAUGAGGUGGAGGCAGGGAACAGAAAUAUUAGCAGGUGUUGGAUAGAGGCCAGGAGUAUGAGGUGGAGGCAGGGAACAGAAAUAUCAGCAUGUGUUGGAUAGAGGCCAGGAGUAUGAGGUGGAGGCAGGGAACAGAAAUAUCAGCAUGUGUUGGAUAGAGGCCAGGAGUAUGAGGUGGAGGCAGGGAACAGAAAUAUCAGCAUGUGUUGGAUAGAGGCCAGGAGUAUGAGGUGGAGGCAGGGAACAGAAAUAUCAGCAGGUGUUGGAUAGAGGCCAGGAGUAUGAGGUGGAGGCAGGGAACAGAAAUAUCAGCAUGUGUUGGAUAGAGGCCAGGAGUAUGAGGUGGAGGCAGGGAACAGAAAUAUCAGCAUGUUUUGGAUAGAGGCCAGGAGUAUGAAGUGGAGGCAGGGAACAGAAAUAUCAGCAGGUGUUGGAUAGAGGCCAGGAGUAUGAGGUGGAGGCAGGGAACAGAAAUAUCAGCAGGUGUUGGAUAGAGGACAGGAGUAUGAGGUGGAGGCAGGGAACAGAAAUAUCAGCAUGUGUUGGAUAGAGGCCAGGAGUAUGAGGUGGAGGCAGGGAACAGAAAUGUCAGCAUGUGUUGGAUAGAGGCCAGGUGUAUGAGGUGGAGGCAGGGAACAGAAAUAUCAGCAUGUGUUGGAUAGAGGCCAGGAGUAUGAGGUGGAGGCAGGGAACAGAAAUAUCAGCAUGUGUUGGAUAGAGGCCAGGAGUAUGAGGUGGAGGCAGGGAACAGAAAUAUCAGCAUGUGUUGGAUAGAGGCCAGGAGUAUGAGGUGGAGGCAGGGAACAGAAAUAUCAGCAUGUGUUGGAUAGAGGCCAGGAGUAUGAGGUGGAGGCAGGGAACAAAAAUAUCAGCAUGUGUUGGAUAGAGGCCAGGAGUAUGAGGUGGAGGCAGGGAACAGAAAUAUCAGCAGGUGUUGGAUAGAGGCCAGGAGUAUGAGGUGGAGGCAGGGAACAGAAAUAUCAGCAGGUGUUGGAUAGAGGCCAGGAGUAUGAGGUGGAGGCAGGGAACAGAAAUAUCAGCAGGUGUUGGAUAGAGGCCAGGAGUAUGAGGUGGAGGCAGGGAACAGAAAUAUCAGCAGGUGUUGGAUAGAGGCCAGGAGUAUGAGGUGGAGACAGGGAACAGAAAUAUCAGCAGGUGUUGGAUAGAGGCCAGGAGUAUGAGGUGGAGGCAGGGAACAGAAAUAUCAGCAGGUGUUGGAUAGAGGCCAGGAGUAUGAGGUGGAGGCAGGGAACAGAAAUAUCAGCAGGUGUUGGAUAGAGGCCAGGAGUAUGAGGUGGAGGCAGGGAACAGAAAUAUCAGCAGGUGUUGGAUAGAGGCCAGGAGUAUGAGGUGGAGACAGGGAACUGAAAUAUCAGCAGGUGUUGGAUAGAGGCCAGGAGUAUGAGGUGGAGGCAGGGAACAGAAAUAUCAGCAGGUGUUGGAUAGAGGCCAGGAGUAUGAGGUGGAGGCAGGGAACAGAAAUAUCAGCAGGUGUUGGAUAGAGGCCAGGAGUAUGAGGUGGAGGCAGGGAACAGAAAUAUCAGCAGGUGUUGGAUAGAGGCCAGGAGUAUGAGGUGGAGGCAGGGGACUGAAAUAUCAGCAGGUGUUGGAUAGAGGACAGGAGUAUGAGGUGGAGGCAGGGAACAGAAAUAUCAGCAUGUGUUGGAUAGAGGCCAGGAGUAUGAGGUGGAGGCAGGGAACAGAAAUGUCAGCAUGUGUUGGAUAGAGGCCAGGUGUAUGAGGUGGAGGCAGGGAACAGAAAUAUCAGCAUGUGUUGGAUAGAGGCCAGGAGUAUGAGGUGGAGGCAGGGAACAGAAAUAUCAGCAUGUGUUGGAUAGAGGCCAGGAGUAUGAGGUGGAGGCAGGGAACAGAAAUAUCAGCAUGUGUUGGAUAGAGGCCAGGAGUAUGAGGUGGAGGCAGGGAACAGAAAUAUCAGCAUGUGUUGGAUAGAGGCCAGGAGUAUGAGGUGGAGGCAGGGAACAAAAAUAUCAGCAUGUGUUGGAUAGAGGCCAGGAGUAUGAGGUGGAGGCAGGGAACAGAAAUAUCAGCAGGUGUUGGAUAGAGGCCAGGAGUAUGAGGUGGAGGCAGGGAACAGAAAUAUCAGCAGGUGUUGGAUAGAGGCCAGGAGUAUGAGGUGGAGGCAGGGAACAGAAAUAUCAGCAGGUGUUGGAUAGAGGCCAGGAGUAUGAGGUGGAGGCAGGGAACAGAAAUAUCAGCAGGUGUUGGAUAGAGGCCAGGAGUAUGAGGUGGAGACAGGGAACAGAAAUAUCAGCAGGUGUUGGAUAGAGGCCAGGAGUAUGAGGUGGAGGCAGGGAACAGAAAUAUCAGCAGGUGUUGGAUAGAGGCCAGGAGUAUGAGGUGGAGGCAGGGAACAGAAAUAUCAGCAGGUGUUGGAUAGAGGCCAGGAGUAUGAGGUGGAGGCAGGGAACAGAAAUAUCAGCAGGUGUUGGAUAGAGGCCAGGAGUAUGAGGUGGAGACAGGGAACUGAAAUAUCAGCAGGUGUUGGAUAGAGGCCAGGAGUAUGAGGUGGAGGCAGGGAACAGAAAUAUCAGCAGGUGUUGGAUAGAGGCCAGGAGUAUGAGGUGGAGGCAGGGAACAGAAAUAUCAGCAGGUGUUGGAUAGAGGCCAGGAGUAUGAGGUGGAGGCAGGGAACAGAAAUAUCAGCAGGUGUUGGAUAGAGGCCAGGAGUAUGAGGUGGAGGCAGGGGACUGAAAUAUCAGCAGGUGUUGGAUAGAGGCCAGGAGUAUGAGGUGGAGGCAGGGAACAGAAAUAUCAGCAUGUGUUGGAUAGAGGCCAGGAGUAUGAGGUGGAGGCAGGGAACAGAAAUAUCAGCAGGUGUUGGAUAGAGGCCAGGAGUAUGAGGUGGAGGCAGGGAACAGAAAUAUCAGCAUGUGUUGGAUAGAGGCCAGGAGUAUGAGGUGGAGGCAGGGAACAGAAAUAUCAGCAGGUGUUGGAUAGAGGCCAGGAGUAUGAGGUGGAGGCAGGGAACAGAAAUAUCAGCAGGUGUUGGAUAGAGGCCAGGGGUAUGAGGUGGAGGCAGGGAACAGAAAUAUCAGCAGGUGUUGGAUAGAGGCCAGGAGUAUGAGGUGGAGGCAGGGAACAGAAAUAUCAGCAUGUGUUGGAUAGAGGCCAGGAGUAUGAGGUGGAGGCAGGGAACAGAAAUAUCAGCAGGUGUUGGAUAGAGGCCAGGAGUAUGAGGUGGAGGCAGGGAACAGAAAUAUCAGCAUGUGUUGGAUAGAGGCCAGGAGUAUGAGGUGGAGGCAGGGAACAGAAAUAUCAGCAGGUGUUGGAUAGAGGCCAGGAGUAUGAGGUGGAGGCAGGGAACAGAAAUAUCAGCAUGUGUUGGAUAGAGGCCAGGAGUAUGAGGUGGAGGCAGGGAACAGAAAUAUCAGCAGGUGUUGGAUAGAGGCCAGGAGUAUGAGGUGGAGACAGGGAACAGAAAUAUCAGCAUGUGUUGGAUAGAGGCCAGGAGUAUGAGGUGGAGGCAGGGAACAAAAAUAUCAGCAGCGACUGAAAACAUUAGUAUUGCUUUUUUUGAUGGAGGGAAUUUUGUGUCAAUCACCUGGAACUCUCUUGCUUUGAAGACCUGAGAGGAUUUUCAUUCACAACAAAUAGUUCCCAAACUUUUCAUUUGUGAAACAUAUUUUGGAAGUCUUCACCAUAUACUCACAAUGACAUACAAACUAUAAGUGGCACGCCUGCUCCCACUACCCCUCCACCAGGCUACCCGUCAUAAUACUCACCUGUUAACAUCAUUACGCGCAGCUGCGCUCAUUGGACUCACCUGGACUCCCUCACUGUGUUGAUUACCCCUGUGUAUAUGUCUGCUCCUCUGUGUUGUUCCCUGUAGUAGUAUUGUUUGUCGUGUCGUCUUUAUGUCCAGACGCAGUUCCUGUUCUGUUGCAUGUCUGUCUAUAUUAAAUGGAUCACUCCAUGUACCUGCUUCUCAUCUCCUGUGCUG